AUUAAGUAUAGCAUUUUUGAACAUCUAAUAAUUAAACGUACACAUUAACCGAUAACGCUUUUCUGCCUUUCUUAUAGUAAGCGGAUAGAAAGUGAAUAUGAAAACGGAAAAUUAAAGGGAUUUAUUACUUUUUUUACUUAUCUUACAAGAUAUACAUAUAUUCACAUUUUUUCAAAGCUUUUCAAAAAAAAAAUAUAAAGACAUCUCAUUUUCCGGUUGUACUCACCGUUCAUCUGUUACAACAUCGACAGAAUUACAAAAGCCAAGCGCAUUAUAUAAAAUUCAAUAUGACUG